GACGAACGCUGGCGGCGUGCUUAACACAUGCAAGUCGAACGGAAAGGCCCUGCUUUUGUGGGGUGCUCGAGUGGCGAACGGGUGAGUAACACGUGAGUAACCUGCCCUUGACUUUGGGAUAACUUCAGGAAACUGGGGCUAAUACCGGAUAGGAGCUCCUGCUGCAUGGUGGGGGUUGGAAAGUUUCGGCGGUUGGGGCUGGACUCGCGGCUUAUCAGCUUGUUGGUGGGGUAGGGGCUUACCAAGGCUUUGACGGGUAGCCGGCCUGAGAGGGUGACCGGGCACAAUGGGACUGAGAUACGGCCCAGACUCCUACGGGAGGCAGCAGUGGGGAAUAUUGCACAAUGGGCGGAAGCCUGAUGCAGCAACGCCGCGUGCGGGAUGACGGCCUUCGGGUUGUAAACCGCUUUCGCCGGUGACGAAGCGUGAGUGACGGUAAUGGGUAAAGAAGCACCGGCUAACUACGUG
rnacentral:rRNA from 1 species